GAAUUCGCCCUUAGAGUUUGAUCCUGGCUCAGGACGAACGCUGGCGGCGCGCCUAACACAUGCAAGUCGAACGAGAGAGAGGGAGCUUGCUUCCUUGAUCAAGUGGCGAACGGGUGAGUAACGCGUGAGGAACCUGCCUCAAAGAGGGGGACAACAGUUGGAAACGACUGCUAGUACCGCAUAAGCCCACGACCCGGCAUCGGGAAGGGGGAAAAGGAGCAAUCCGCUUUGAGAUGGCCUCGCGUCCGAUUAGCUAGUUGGUGAGGUAACGGCCCACCAAGGCGACGAUCGGUAGCCGGACUGAGAGGUUGAACGGCCACAUUGGGACUGAGACACGGCCCAGACUCCUACGGGAGGCAGCAGUGGGGAAUAUUGCACAAUGGGGGAAACCCUGAUGCAGCGACGCCGCGUGGAGGAAGAAGGUCUUCGGAUUGUAAACUCCUGCUGUUGAGGAAGAUAAUGACGGUACUCAACAAGGAAGUGACGGCUAACUACGUGCCAGCAGCCGCGGUAAAACGUAGGUCACAAGCGUUGUCCGGAAUUACUGGGUGUAAAGGGAGCGCAGGCGGGCGAUCAAGUUGGAAGUGAAAUCCAUGGGCUCAACCCAUGAACUGCUUUCAAAACUGGUCGUCUUGAGUAGUGCAGAGGUAGGCGGAAUUCCCGGUGUAGCGGUGGAAUGCGUAGAUAUCGGGAGGAACACCAGUGGCGAAGGCGGCCUACUGGGCACCAACUGACGCUGAGGCUCGAAAGUGUGGGUAGCAAACAGGAUUAGAUACCCUGGUAGUCCACACCGUAAACGAUG
rnacentral:rRNA from 1 species